UACGUAGGCAGCAAGCGUUGUUCGGAAUUACUGGGCGUAAAGAGUGUGUAGGCGGUGUUCUAAGUCUGUUGUGAAAUCUCCCGGCUUAACUGGGAGGGUGCGGCGGAAACUGGAAUGCUAGAGGAUGGGAGAGGUAAGCGGAAUUCCUGGUGUAGCGGUGAAAUGCGUAGAUAUCAGGAGGAACACCAAUGGCGAAGGCAGCACUCUGGGACGUGACUGACGCUGAGACGCGAAAGCGUGGGGAGCAAAUAGG
rnacentral:rRNA from 1 species